AUAUGAUACUGGCAGCUUGAGUUUGGAGAGGGGGGUAGAAUUCCAGGAGUAGCGAUAAAUGUGUAGAGAUCAGGGGAAUACCGGGGGUGAAGGCGGCCCCGUGGACGAAGACUGACGAUCAGGUGCGAAAGCGUGGGGAGCAAGCAGGAUUUGAUACCCUGGUAGUCCACGCAGUAAAAGAUGUCGACUUGGAGGUUGUGCCCUUGAGGCGUGGCUUCCGGAGCUAACGCGUUAAGUCGACCGCUUGGGGAGUACGGCCGCAAGGUUAAAACUCAAAUGAAUUGACGGGGGCCCGCACAAGCGGUGGAGCAUGUGGUAUUUUGGAUGCAACGCGAAGAACCUUACCUGGUCUUGACAUCCACAGAACUUUCCAGAGAUGGUUUGGUGCCUUCGGGAACUGUGAGACAGGUGCUGCAUGGCAGUCGUCAGCUCGUGUUGUGAAAUGUUGGGUUAAGUCCCGCAACGAGCGCAACCCUUAUCCUUUGUUGCUAGCGGUCCGGCCGGGAACUCAAAGGAGACUGCCAGUGAUAAACUGGAGGAAGGUGGGGAUGACGUCAAGUCAUCAUGGCCCUUACGACCAGGGCUACACACGUGCUACAAUGGCGCAUACAAAGAGAAGGGACCUCGCGAGAGCAAGCGGACCUCAUAAAAUGAGUGGUAGUCCGGAUUGGAGUCUGCAACUAGACUCCAUGAAGUAGGAAUCGAUAGUAAUCGUGGAUCAGAAUGCCACGGUGAGUACGUUCCCGGGCCUUGUACACACCGCCCGUCACACCAUGGGAGUGGGUUGCAAAAGAAGUAGGUAGCUUAACCUUCGGGAGGGCGCUUACCACUCUGUGAUUCAUGACUGGGGUGAAGUCGUAACAAGGUAACC
rnacentral:rRNA from 1 species